UGUUGAUUAUCAAGCCAUGAUUUCUUCCUUUUUGAAGUCUUCUGCUGAAUUUCCUUUUUCUUCAGACAAGCUGUUUGCAAACAAAUGUCUGGUUCCUGAGAUAUAGCUUCAGUUCUGCAUGUAGUAGUAGGAGCUUUGUCUUCAACUAGCUUCUUUAGAUUCUUCAAAGCAUCAUCUACUAAUUUUAUGCACUCUUGUGAUGCAACUACUUGGGAAGCUAUGCCAAGGAACUCAUGCAUGAAAAACUUAAGCUGCUGCCUAUCUUCCGAUCUAGGGUCUUCCAAAACAAUGUUGCCAUGGCUGUUUUGAAUAGUGCCGCUUCGUGCUUCUCGAGUCCAUCGCUUCAAAAUAUAGUGGCUUGGAAGAUACUUAAUAUUCAUGACAUCAAGGGCUUUCAAAGCAUGACUACACAAUAUACCAACUCUUUCAAAUUGACCACAACUACAUAGAACUUUUUGCUCUUCAUCAACCAGAACUUUGCAUUCUUCCUCAUAAGAGCAUUCCGGGUCAAGAUUGGCAAUUGCAACAGUAUAUACACUGUGUUCCUCCGAUGGCUUGAUGUACGCUGAGAUGGAUCUUUCAUAUUCAUUCUGAAAAUCUUCAAAUAUGUGAGAAUGUCAAGAUCAGACUUCAAAUGGUCUUUCAAGUCACUAUUCAAGCUCUCACUUAAUUGUGUGCUUCUCAUGCCUAUAGUUGAAAGCUUCUUCAAAGUCUUCCUCUUCCUCAUACUUGUACAUGCAAGCACUGAAAUCAGCAAGUACAUUUGGGCCAUCCUCGU